UACGGAGGGUGCGAGCGUUGUCCGGAAUCACUGGGCGUAAAGGGCGCGUAGGCGGCAUGCCAAGCGUGUGGUGAAAGCCCGGGGCUCAACCCCGGGUCGGCCGUGCGGACUGGCGUGCUUGAGCACUGUAGGGGCGGGUGGAAUUCCGGGUGUAGCGGUGGAAUGCGUAGAGAUCUGGAGGAACACCGAUGGCGAAGGCAGCCUUCUGGGCCAACACUGACGCUCAUGCACGAAAGCGUGGGGAGCAAACAGG
rnacentral:rRNA from 1 species